rnacentral:rRNA from 1 species
AUGAAGAUGUAUACGGAAUCUGUCCAUUAUGUUAUCAAGAAACGACGGGCGUUAGGUGUUCUAGCUGUAAUGUUGGCCAUUGUCCGGUGGCGUCGUCAACGUAGACAUUACAGUCUUAGAAUGUCUCGAAGAAAGUAUGGGCCAUUGGUUGAUAGAGAUCUGGAGAGGCAAAAAAAGUUGAAUGACCUGUACAAUUCAACCGAUAAAAAUUGCAUCAGUCAACUCCGGACGACGGGGCCGCUGCGCAGUGGGUUUGAUGAUGUGAACAAACAAGUGAUGCUCUCCAAAUCUACUCUAGAUGGCUUAUCGGCUAAUGAUCGUGGAAUUCUCUCUAAACCGAUUCAGUUCUACGACAAGUUGAAGGAUUAUUUAGUGGCUCGUCGGCAGAUGGCUCUUUUAUGCAAGACCCUUUCUCUGCAGCUGAAACUGACAAUGAUGAUAAGAUACUCCAUGCGGCCGUCAGGAAUAGCUCCAUGA